rnacentral:rRNA from 1 species
CUCUUAUGGAGAGUUUGAUCCUGGCUCAGGACGAACGCUGGCGGCGUGCCUAAUACAUGCAAGUCGAGCGCGGGAAGCGAGCUGAAGCCCUUCGGGGCGGACGCUCGUGGAACGAGCGGCGGACGGGUGAGUAACACGUGGGCAACCUACCUGUAAGACCGGAAUAACCCCGG